rnacentral:rRNA from 1 species
AUUGAACGCUGGCGGCAUGCCUUACACAUGCAAGUCGAACGGCAGCACGGACUUCGGUCUGGUGGCGAGUGGCGAACGGGUGAGUAAUAUAUCGGAACAUACCUUGUAGUGGGGGAUAACUAUCCGAAAGGAUAGCUAAUACCGCAUACGCUCUAAGGAGGAAAGUGGGGGAUCUUAGGACCUCAUGCUAUAAGAGUGGCCGAUAUCUGAUUAGCUAGUUGGUGAGGUAAAGGCUCACCAAGGCGACGAUCAGUAGCUGGUCUGAGAGGACGACCAGCCACACUGGAACUGAGACACGGUCCAGACUCCUACGGGAGGCAGCAGUGGGGAAUUUUGGACAAUGGGGGCAACCCUGAUCCAGCCAUGCCGCGUGAGUGAAGAAGGCCUUCGGGUUGUAAAGCUCUUUCGGCCGGGAAGAAAUCGGCGACUCUAACGUAGUCGCUGGAUGACGGUACCGGACUAAGAAGCACCGGCUAACUACGUGCCAGCAGCCGCGGUAA